rnacentral:rRNA from 1 species
UGGGGAAUCUUGCGCAAUGGCCGAAAGGCUGACGCAGCGACGCCGCGUGUGGGAUGACGCCUUUCGGGGUGUAAACCACUGUUGCCCGGGACGAACGAGAUCUUUCGAGAUCUGUGACGGUACCGGGUGAGGAAGCACCGGCUAACUCCGUGCCAGCAGCCGCGGUAAUACGGAGGGUGCGAGCGUUGUCCGGAAUCACUGGGCGUAAAGGGCGCGUAGGCGGCCUGGCAAGUCGAUGGUGAAAGCCCGAGGCUCAACUUCGGGUCGGCCAUUGAUACUGCGAGGCUCGAGUCGACUAGAGGCUAAUGGAAUUCCGGGUGUAGCGGUGGAAUGCGUAGAGAUCCGGAAGAACACCGGUGGCGAAGGCGGUUAGCUGGGGUCGAACUGACGCUGAGGCGCGACAGCGUGGGGAGCAAACAGGAUUAGAUACCCCCGUAGUCC